UACGGAGGGAGCUAGCGUUAUUCGGAAUUACUGGGCGUAAAGCGCACGUAGGCGGCUUUGUAAGUAAGAGGUGAAAGCCUGGAGCUCAACUCCAGAAUUGCCUUUUAGACUGCAUCGCUUGAAUCAUGGAGAGGUGAGUGGAAUUCCGAGUGUAGAGGUGAAAAUUCGUAGAUAUUCGGAAGAACACCAGUGGCGAAGGCGGCUCACUGGACAUGUAUUGACGCUGAGGUGCGAAAGCGUGGGGAGCAAACAGG
rnacentral:rRNA from 1 species